CCCUGGAGGGUCACCCAAGGAAAGAGUUCGUUCCAAAGACAGGUGCUCCUCUGAGUUCCUCUGGAAUCUGGCAAGGUGCCGAGCUUGGACGCAAGGCUUCCAUGAGGCUGUGAAGGAGGUUGCACGGAAACUGGUGGGGAUCUGAAAAGCUUUUAGUGGCCUCGCCACACACAGCACUUCAGAUGCUCAGGUGAUGAGCAACAUUUUCCAAACCCAGCUAGUGAGCACCCCACCUCCUCUGGCUUCCAGAACCUGGUGUGGAGGGCCAGGAGAGGCUUCGGGACUGAAGGGCAGAGCAGCAGACUCCGGGGCUCAUGUAGGAAGGAACAUGCCUUCAGCCAAAGAUUAUCCACGCUGCAUGGAGACUCUUGCUAAAUAUCACUGGUAAAUGCACAAUUAUGUCCCAUUUAGAGAUCUCUAGCAGAGUGUCUUGUGUUUGAUGGAUUUGUCCUGCAUUUAAUUAUAACUUCCUGCUAAAGCUCAGAUGUUUUCUUUCAGGGACAAAUGCAGUGGCUUAAUUUCAUUCAAUCAUUUACUGAGGAUCUGAAAUGCAUGCGGUUAGUGGUGAGAAUACUGACUCAGGGCUGUCCCUUCCUCUGGAGUUGACAGCCGACUGCGCAGGAAGGGAAGGUGAGGGUCAAACACACAGGUCAACAUCAGAAACAGCACUUCCGCCUUCCAUUGGCCCCGAUGUUUCAUGGAGGCCCCGAGGAGGCUGCGAAGGAACAUGGCAGUGACUGCUCCGUGGCUCUGCGUGGUGGCCAGCAACUGUUUGGGCACUAUGACCAUGUACGUUUGACAAAGCGCAUGCAAUUAUUUGAAUAUUCUAUAGUUCUUUUAGGAAACUGAGUAGAAACGGAAAAUUAAAAGUGCUGAUGUUAGUAAUAGGAAACAUGGAUCUCA
rnacentral:lncRNA from 1 species